UCAUUCGAUAUUUCGAUUCCUGCCUGCGUGCGCUUCCCCGCCCGCGCGGUUUAGCUUGAUUAAUUAUCAAGUUAAAACCGCACGCGUCGCGGUCAUUCGCGGUAUAGCUGUUUGCCCCUCUGUCCCCUUCAGUUCGUUUUUCUUUUCCUUGCCUUUCCGCCUGGGUGGUGGUGGCCGGGCUCGCCGGAUACCGGCUCGACGCGGCGCGUAAAAGUCAGCCGUCGCGCUCCAGCUCGGGCUGGCUACGAGCGGACGGAGAAGGCAACAAGAUAUAGCGCAUGCGCACGUCCAGGCCAUGCUAGGUUGAUUCUUGACCGAUCGAGCUGCCGAUUGCGUUGCGUGGCGUCAUUUUUGUGGUGACGAGAUGAGAAGAGCUUUGUGGCAACUGAAAAUUGAUGGAUGAAUCGGUUGGAUUGUGGUGCGGAAUUCUUUGUAUACUUAUUACUUUUGACAGUCAGAAAGUCACUCUUGGUCUGGUAGUCAUCUUUUACGGCAAAAGUAUACUUCUGCGCUCUGUAGUUGAAGGAGAGAUGGGAACCUGAGACAAAUGGGGAACGAUGCUUCUUCAUCUAAAGAAAGGUCGAGAGAGAUGGCAAAUUAAUAUUAUAUGCUCUUUGUAGUCGGCGUUACAAAGAUUAAUAAUUUUGUGGCUUAACUA